UAGGUACCCGUAGCGGUACUAGGUCCCCAUAAUGGUACUAGGUCUAGGUACCCAUAAUGGUACUAGGUCUAGGUACCCAUAAUGGUACUAGGUCUAGGUACCCAUAAUGGUACUAGGUCUAGGUACCCAUAAUGGUAC